GUAAGGUAUUACCUACGUACUUUUGAAAUUUCAAAUGACAUGCAUUUAUUUUUAUAAAUUAUGUAAAGUAUUGAUAACUUUUUGAAUUUCUUUAGACUAUUGGUCAAUCAAGCAACACUACAAAUGUUCAAAAUUCAUCCUCAAGCCAACAACAGAUUAUUGGUCAAUCAAGCAAUAUCACAAAUGUUCAAAAUUCAUCUUUAAGUCAACCACAGGAUGGUGGGAGUUUCUAUUGGCCACAAUUGAUAACUUAUGGGUAUAAUCUUCUCACACAUGAUACUAAUUCAUACUCACCAAGGUAUCUACAAUCACAACCUUUGUCUUUCCAAGCAUCACAUAGUCCACAAAGUUCUCAAGUAAGAUAUAUAUAUAUAUAUAUAUAUAUGUUUGUAAUGUAAUUUAGUCCAUAAAAUUUAUUCUAAUGAAUUUUCUUU